UUGGGGAGCACCUCCCCAGCCUAAACCACACCCAGCCCGGGCACCCAGCAUGCCCAGUUCCCACACCUCGAGGCCGCCCAACACACAGAAAUUAAACUAUGCAGGACACUGCUGACAGAGAUAAUUACAUUGCUCUCCUCUACAAAUGUGGGUAUAAGGGCAGAUAAAUGCAGGCCACUGCACCAUUCAGGGAGGUGAAGCCACCCCAAGUCUGCAUGCAGGAUGAGAUCCUGGCUCAGAAGAUUUGGACAUGCUAGCUGAUCAAAGUCCAGAACCUGGACCAAAACAGGGCAAUCAGUAUCACUUCUGUGUCCAGCAUUUCACCUUGUGCAUCACCUUUGCUAGAACUGAGAAGGGUAAGAAUAAAUGUAUCAGGCCCGGGGGUCAACAAGCCACUAAAGCAGUGUGUGUGUGUGUGUGUGUGUGUGUAGUUUCACUGCUGUUUUGAGAAUGUAUUUUAUCACAUUAGAUUACUAUUAAUGUAAACCAUUGUGAAGACACUUGAA